rnacentral:tRNA from 1 species
GCCCGCUUAGUUCAAUGGUAGAACGCCUGCACGACACGCAGGGAACGGGAGUUCAAUUCUCUCAGCGGGUAC